rnacentral:rRNA from 1 species
AUUGAACGCUGGCGGCGUGCCUAAUACAUGCAAGUUGAGCGCUGAAGGUUGGUACUUGUACCAACUGGAUGAGCAGCGAACGGGAGAGUAACGCGUGGGGAAUCUGCCUUUGAGCGGGGGACAACAUUUGGAAACGAACGCUAAUACCGCAUAAAAACUUUAAACACAAGUUUGAAGUUUGAAAGAUGCAAUUGCAUCACUCAAAGAUGAUCCCGCGUUGUAUUAGCUAGUUGGUGAGGUAAAGGCUCACCAAGGCGAUGAUACAUAGCCGACCUGAGAGGGUGAUCGGCCACAUUGGGACUGAGACACGGCCCAAACUCCUACGGGGGGCAGCAGUAGGGAAUCUUCGGCAAUGGACGAAAGUCUGACCGAGCAACGCCGCGUGAGUGAAGAAGGUUUUCGGAUCGUAAAACUCUGUUGGUAGAGAAGAACGUUGGUGAGAGUGGAAAGCUCAUCAAGUGACGGUAACUACCCAGAAAGGGACGGCUAACUACGUGCCAGCAGCCGCAGUAA